GACUGCACAAAUGUUUGUCAAUAUUGUGGAGCUUUGUUUUGGUUUGAUGAGCGAGUUUUGUCUACACCUUCUGGGCAGACAAAUCAUAAAUUUUACUCUCCUCUCCCUUUUUCUUUCUGUAGUUGUUUCUUUUUUUUUAUAUAUAUAUAAUUAGCGAUCUAAAUUGUAAAUCAUUAAUCACAGGUACCAACUCUCUGCAAAAAUUGAAGACGAAACUGGAGAACUGAAUAUUACCAUCAACCAUAACUCAGCAACAACAAUGAUAGGCGUUGAAUACCACCAGUUAAUGAUAACGGACACCUGCAGACCUGGCCAUGCAAUACCCGCAGAAAUCACAUCACUUGAAGGAAAAUCAAUGACGUUUCAUAUACAAGCAUAUCGAGAGCGAAGAUCACAAAGAAUAAAGGCAACAGUUCACAAAGUAACUAACAUGCAAACGCAGCCUGCUUCAUCAUCAACACAGCAUACCUUAUCUCCAACAACACCACAAACAACUAAAACACGUUCUGCAUCAUCUAGGAGAUUGGAAUUCACCCCAGAAAGUACCCCAACAAAACAGUCAAAAAGACGCAAGCUGGAUCAUUAAACCAUCAACGAUCAAAAACUUCCGUACAAAGCAAGAUGCCAUAUAAAACCAAACUUUUGCAACUGCUAUCUUUUGUCUCCAGAAGCAACAUGCCACAUCGAACCAAACGUUUGCAACUUCAGUCUUUUGUCUCCAGUAGCGUAUAUAUAGUUUAGAAGUAGCCAAUGGCAUUGUAACUUCAAUCUUUUGUCUCCAGAAACGUAUAUAUAGUUUAGUUUAGAAGUAACCAAUGCCA